rnacentral:misc_RNA from 1 species
CGCACAUUGCGCCCUUUGGUAUUCCGAAGGGCAUGCCUGUUCGAGCGUCAUUUUCACCCCUCAAGCCCCCGGCUUGGUGUUGGACGGCAUGGUCUAGGGAUCCCUAGACCCCUCCUAAAGACAAUGACGGCGGGCUGUUCGAACCCCCGGUACACUGAGCUUCUUAACCGAGCACGUAUCGGAUCUAGGGUCGACGGCACCCGGUCUUAACCCCAAUUUUCUCAAGGUUGACCUCGGAUCAGGUAGGAAUACCCGCUGAACUUAA